GCGCGCGCACGCACGCACGCACUCACGACGCCGCUUCGUUGUGACGGCCGAGGAAGAAGAGAAGGAAGAAGGGAGAAGCCGCGCGGAAGAGGAGGAGGAAGAUGGACGCGAUUGCCACGCCGUGCGCGGCUCACUAGGGCAACAUGGGCUGCAUCGGAUCCAGAACCAUCACAGCCGAUGCCGCGCCGGUGCGGAAAGACGGCGAUCAGCACGGCCGUGCUGAGUUUUCCUGGGAAGGAAUCAAUCUAUCCAUGGAGGACACCACGUCCAUCCUGCCGCGCCUCAAGAGGAAGCCGCCCAACUCGUACGGCAUCGGCGCCCUGGCUAAGUCGUCUCUGACAGGUGUGUCAGGCGUGACGCGCUCCAUGAAGGACAAGGUGACCAAGCCCACGGCCAUGGCCCAGGGCCGCGUGGCCCACAUGAUCGAGUGGCAGAGCUGGGGCAAGCCGUCGGCGGGGCCGCUCGGGGCCACCGGCCGCAGCAACCUGCAGCGGGAGAAGGAACGCCGCAUGGAGAACGACGCCUACAGCGACCUCAGCGACGGCGAGAAGGAGGCACGCUUCGCCGCCGGCAUCAUGCAGCAGUUUGCCAUCUCAGAGGCCACGCUCUUCGGCUGGACCUCCAUGGACGACAACCUGGCCGCCGACUCGUGCCCCGGCAGCGUGGCGCACCUCAGCGACGUCAACCAGGACAGCAUCACCAGCAGAGAGCAUGUCCUCCACCACUCCUCGACAGACGUGUGGCCUCACACGUACGUGUCGCAAGGCCUCUACUGCCUGUCCUCGGCCGACGCGUGGGAGCCCAUCACCAGUCAGCCUUCGGGCGUGGCCUCGCCGGCCGCGGGCUCGUACAUCAUGGCACCAGGCAGCGGUGCGGGCAUGACGCCAGCCGAAGGCUACGAGAUGACGAUGGGCGGCUUCCUCCAGCAGCAGCAGCAGCAGCAGCAGAUGAGCCUCCAGCAGCACAACCAGCUGCAGCAUCUGCAGCAGCUCCACCAGUACCAGCAACUGCUGCACUACCAGCAGCAGCAGUCGUUGCAUAGCGCCUCCCAUUCCCUCCAGGCCACACCCAACAGCACCAUCCACAGUCUGGGCCCGCCCACGCACCCGCGGCUGGCCGACCUGUGGGAGGCGGCCCAAGCGCAGCAGGCGGAGCUCGUCGGCCAGCUGAGUGGACAGAUGGCGGAAAUGGUGGGCGGCGGGGACGAGAUGGACAACAACUUCUUUGGCUACGCGGAGCAACGGCAAGAUGGGGACGACGAGGAAGAGGAGGAACUCACCAGGGUGAGUGACAUCAGCGACCGGUCUUUGGACAUUUCACCAGCCGACCGGCGGUUCCUGUGCGGCCAGGCGCAGGUCACACUAACCUUGGAGUCCAAGCCGUGCCCUCUGACGCCAUCACCGCUGCGGGAGGAUACGCCGUCCACAAGAGGUCCAAGUCCGGGCACGCCGGCCGAGAGGAUCCCCUUGGAUGUGACGCCGUCCCUCGUCCAGUCGCCGGUUGACAAGAAGGACGACGACGCAGACCAGGGUGGCGGCGGUAUCGCCUUGGCCGCCAACUGAGACAAAAAGUUCACGUCAACACCAAAAAAUACAAUAAUCAGUCCCAAUAUUAUCUCGCUCUUACUGAAGGAAUAACCUGCGGGACAUGUGGAAUAUUAAUCAAGCAAAAAAACGAAACAUUUUGGGGGACCAAAAACCAGCGGACAGGAAGUUGAAGAAGCAAAAGCAUCGCAAUAGAAACAAAUACGCAUGAGGGGCGGGACAAAGGCAAGCUGCCGACAAGAAGAAGGAGGACGUCCAACACUGAGUGCUCACGCCAAUGUUACAAAGUCACGACAUAUCCAAGUGCUUUUGAUAAUAAAAGGAAAAAAGAUCACUUCUUGGUUUGACAGUUUGCGUGUCAAUCUGACAACAACGCUGGAAUUUCGCUUUGCCACGUGAUUUGCUGUCACGUCCAACCUCUGCUCUGCUGGCCAACAUCUGCCUGUCAAAAGUUAGACCUUCAAAAUAAAAGCAUGCAGUAUUAGAACACUCAAAUCCAUAACAGCUGGAGUAAGACAAAUUUAAAAAAUAACAAACAGCCGCACAAGUCAAACAGGCUGUUGUCCACUGCAUCGUUGCCAUAGCGACAGCAUACCAACAACACAGAUACUCACUUGACCUGUUGGGCUGAAAGUUUCCGUGUCGCUGUUCAUCAUGUUCAUCAUCAUCCAAGGAAGGAGCGAUGACAUCACUCUCAGCUGACCACGUCACAUGGGGCUCACACCUUCAGGUGAGGCGUGGGCGUGUCGCUGGUGUGGGCGUGGCCAGGCGCAGCCACCACAACACAGGCACCGGAGCACAUUCCGCCUCUCGCGUGGCAGCGUCCUGACGUGGGAACGUGAGCGCCGGUGACCGGCGGACGCUGACCAGUCGUGUAGCAGGCAUGGAUUGGAGGCUGGCUUGAAGGUCGGGUU